GGAUAGCUAAAUCAGUAGAGCAUGAGACUCUUAAUCUGAGAGUCAUGGGUUCGAGCCCCAUGUUGGGCA